AACACCCCCUUCCCCUUUCUCGCUCUUCCCCUUCCAUGUAAAACCCUAGCCGCCGCCUGCAAAUUCUUUUCUCUCUCGUCCUAAAAAUGGAAAAAUCACAGUGCAUGUGUAAGACGCGCAGCUUUGCAGCACUAUUUUCGUGUAAGAAAUUAAUGUUGAGGUUGUUUCUACCCAAAUCUUGCAAAAAUCGUCUGUGUGGCUGCGUGUGGUUUUGGAAGCACAAAGGGCUUUCAAAUUUGACUUUUGACCAAGGCUGCACUUUUAAAAGGUACACCCAGAUGAGCAGAAGACUUUGCUAAGAGAUGUGUCAGCGGGAUUGGCGAGCUCCACCCUCCUCCGGAGUGUCGCCGAGUCAGAGCGUAUAUAAGUUGUGAUUUCUGAUCUGUGUUAGAGACUUUGCAGACAGAGUUGUGGGUACAAAGAGUCAGUUCGUAAGCAGCUUCAUAUGUCUACAGAUUCUGUUUGGUCUGACCUGAGAUCUGUGUCCUAAGCUGCCCUGUUUGCUAUGAUGGCCUAAACGGCCUAUAUGUUCGUAUAUGUGUAUGUGUUCAGGCGAUGUACAUUCCGCCUGUCUACUGGAUUUGGCACGAUAUGUCUGAUAUGUUUGAUAUACGUGGCCGCUUAAGACAAUGUCUGUUUACAGUUUUUGUUAUCAGUUCUAAUGUAUGUUUCGUGUGAUCAGGUUCUGGAAAUU